rnacentral:SRP_RNA from 1 species
GGGCGGGUCCUGUGCGACGGGAGGCUGUGAACCAUGUCAGGCGGGGAACCGAGCAGCAUUAAACAGUUUAUCCUGUGCGCGUAGUAAAUCGGCUCGUU